GAAGCUUCAGAGACCCCCGAGACGUCCGUGCGUACCAGCCAGGAGAGAAGAAUCCAUCGUCACCCCGUCCUGGUCCCCCGGCAGUCCCCGCCGUUCCUUGGCUUGUAGCUCCAUCACUGGUUUUACCUUCAUCUUCGCGCGGCCUUCUCUCCUGCGUCCUCUGCCUCAGCGUUUCCCUCAGAAAGACGGCAGUCGGUAGACACGGGGCCCACCCUCACGCGGUGUGACUUCUUCUUGGCUUGAUAACAUUUGCACCGUGUGCACGGAAGGGUCCAUUUCCUAGGUUCUGGGUGGGCAUGAGUUGGGGGAGACACUGUUCAACCCAGCACAGUCCAUCUUCUGCCUCCCCCUUCCCCAGUUUCUGUCUUUCCCACAUACAAAAUAAAGUCAUCCUAUCCCA